GAAAAACAUACACAGACAAACAACGAAGGGACAGAAAAAAAUAUAUAGAGAGAGAGAAAGGAAAGAGAAAAUAAUACUCGUGACUGAAUGGCACUAAGAACAGAAGAGCCAAGUCGAGACGGGAAAAAUAGAGACGAUGAAAGACAGACAGACGGGAUAUGUUAAAAGGCUAAAUUAGGUUACGGCACGAAGGGAGACAAAGAGAGAGAGAGAAAUUGCGGGGAUUGACAGGACUCGAAAAACAAGAUUGAGAGAGGAGGAAAAUCGGAGUCAAAACGAAAUGGGGUAAAAACAAGGUGGAAAUAGAGUGAAAUUAUUGAGAGGAUGAAAAAGAACAGGUUACAGUAAGACUUCAUGAAAAAGGAGAGAAGGAAGAGGGCAGAAAAAGAAAAGGAAAUUAUUGAAAGGAUGAAAAAGAACACGUUACAAUAAGACUUCAUGAAAAAGGAGAGAAGGAAGAGGGCAGAAAAAGAAAAGGAAAUUAUUGAAAGGAUGAAAAAGAACACGUUACAAUAAGACUUCAUGAAAAAGGAGAGAAGUAAGAGAGCAGAAAAAAAGAGGAGGCGAGUUAAGUUUUGGAAAUAAAAAAAAGAGCAGAUUACAAAAGUCCUCGUAAAAAUGAGAGAAGAAGAAGGAGAGAGAAGGAGUCAGAAUAAAUUGGAUAUGAAGUGAACUGUAGAUGAAAAAAUAGGAACAGGGUACAAUGAGUCUUCAAAAAAAAAAAAUGGUCGGGUAUUGGAAGAAGACGAAAACAAACCAGAAACUGAUGAAAAAGAGAAAGGCGGGCAAAAGGAGGCCAAAAUAAGGUACGACUGAAACGACAUAAUCUGGCACUGAAGGGAAUUGGAUAACACAUUGGAACGGAGCGGGGACAAGGAGACGAAAAAAUAACAGGAAAAAGAAAAUAUUACGUGAAGAUGACAGAAAAGUAGAAAAAGAAAAAUACUACGAGGAAAGAAAAGGAAGGGCUGGAUAUAAGGAGAGGAGGCGGAGGCAGCGUGGAGGCCUGACUAUUAGAGCAGCGGCCGGCCAGGAAUGGAAUAUAAGGCGGAAGGGACGAGACGGGGAGGCGGAGGAUCAAGGAAGACGAGACGGGGAGGCGGAGGAUCAAGGAAGACGAGACGGGGAGGCGGAGGAUCAAGGAAGACGAGACGGGGAGGCGGAGGAUCAAGGAAGACGAGACGGGGAGGCGGAGGAUCAAGGAAGACGAGACGGGGAGGCGGAGGAUCAAGGAAGACGAGACGUGGCGAUAAGAAGACGAGGCGAUGGCAAGCUAUAAGGGAUAAAAACUAAAAGCGAUAAAACAAGGACAAGUAGAGAUAAAUACUAAACAGGGUAAAACAAUGGCAAUGCGAUGCUGUAUAUUUACAUUGAAAUAAAAUCGAGGACAAUACAAAGACGACUAGAAUAGACAAAAAAAAGCUAAUCAGAUGCUAUAUUAAGUAAAAAGUGAAGGUUGGAGCAUAUGCUAUUGCUGCGCGUGGCGGCUGUGCUCAUCUCCGUCCCGUUGGCCUUUUGAACCUGUGGCAGAAAACCCAUUAACCCGACACAGGGGCAGUGUUACAUCCGGGUUACCUCAGUUUACGUUCUCCAGGUUUCCCCAGGUACCCAUUUACUGAUCAACCCGAAAGGGAGGAUGAACAGCUGGGUGAGAUGCACGGGUUCGUUGCAAUUAUACGUAUAGUCACACUAAUCACUGCAACAAGGGGGGAGGGUGAAAGGACAAUACGGUGUUAGUUAAGGCUAAGCCAGGCAUUAUUCUGCACUAAAACAGAAAACGAAAGGCAGUAUGAUGAGCAAUAAGGCCAGA